rnacentral:rRNA from 1 species
UACGUAGGGGGCUAGCGUUGUCCGGAAUCAUUGGGCGUAAAGAGCGUGUAGGCGGCCCGGUAAGUCCGCUGUGAAAGUCGGGGGCUCAACCCUCGAAUGCCGGUGGAUACUGUCGGGCUAGAGUGCGGAAGAGGCGAGUGGAAUUCCUGGUGUAGCGGUGAAAUGCGCAGAUAUCAGGAGGAACACCGAUUGCGGAGGCAGCUCGCUGGGACGUUACUGACGCUGAGACGCGAAAGCGUGGGGAGCAAACAGG